rnacentral:rRNA from 1 species
AGAGUUUGAUCCUGGCUCAGGAUGAACGCUAGCGGCAGGCUUAACACAUGCAAGUCGAGGGGUAUGUGGCUUCGGCCACAGAGACCGGCGCACGGGUGCGUAACGCGUAUGCAAUCUGCCUUACACUAAGGGAUAGCCCAGAGAAAUUUGGAUUAAUACCUUAUAGUAUAUAGAAGUGGCAUCACUUUUUUAUUAAAGAUUUAUCGGUGUAAGAUGAGCAUGCGUCCCAUUAGCUAGUUGGUAUGGUAACGGCAUACCAAGGCUAUGAUGGGUAGGGGUCCUGAGAGGGAGAUCCCCCACACUGGUACUGAGACACGGACCAGACUCCUACGGGAGGCAGCAGUGAGGAAUAUUGGACAAUGGGCGCAAGCCUGAUCCAGCCAUGCCGCGUGCAGGAUGAAGCAUCUAUGGUGUGUAAACUGCUUUUGUACGGGAAGAAACACCUCUACGUGUAGAGGCCUGACGGUACCGUAAGAAUAAGGAUCGGCUAACUCCGUGCCAGCAGCCGCGGUAAUACGGAGGAUCCAAGCGUUAUCCGGAAUCAUUGGGUUUAAAGGGUCCGUAGGCGGCUUUAUAAGUCAGUGGUGAAAUCCGGCAGCUCAACUGUCGAACUGCCAUUGAUACUGUAGGGCUUGAAUUAUUGUGAAGUAACUAGAAUAUGUAGUGUANCGGUGAAAUGCUUAGAUAUUACAUGGAAUACCAAUNGCGAAGGCAGGUU